UACGUAGGUGGCAAGCGUUGUCCGGAUUUACUGGGCGUAAAGAGCGCGCAGGCGGUCUUUCAGGUCGCGUGUGAAAGCCCCCGGCUCAACUGGGGAGGGUCACGCGAUACUGAUCGACUCGAAGGCAGGAGAGGGUAGUGGAAUUCCCGGUGUAGUGGUGAAAUGCGUAGAUAUCGGGAGGAACACCAGUGGCGAAGGCGGGUCUCUGGGUAGUAACUGACGCUGAGGAACGAAAGCGUGGGUAGCGAACAGG
rnacentral:rRNA from 1 species